UUUUCUGUGUAACCUUACUUUUUAAAUCCUGCAAAUUGACCUUUUUCUGUCUAAGUUUAGUUGUCUGU